GCCAGGCGUGUUGGCAGGUGCCUGUAAUCCCAGCUACUUGGGAGGCUGAGGCAGGAGAAUCACUUGGACCCAGGAGGCAGAGGUUGCAGUGAGCCAAGAUGGCGCCACUGCACUCCAGCCUGGGUGACAGAGUGAGACUCUGUCUCAA
ensembl:misc_RNA Metazoa_SRP Metazoan signal recognition particle RNA